AUCCCUCAGAAAUCAGAAUCAUCAGAAAGAAAAAACGCGAUUCCCCUCUGCCGUCUCCCGCCCGCGAUUCCCCCCUCUGCCCGUUAUUACUCGCCGCAGCCGCCUGCCUCGACGCCCACUCGCCGUUGCCGGACGCCCAGAAGGCCAGGAGCCACCUGCGGCCAGUCCGCCCCGCCCAGCCCCGUCCGGCCAACAGCGGCACCAUCGCGCUCGGCAGGCGGCAGCAACCAGCAGUGCUGCCCGGCGGCCGGCGGCAGUGUGCAGGCGUGCAGCAGCCAGCGCACAGACCUUUGUCUUCAUUAAAUGGGACAAGGGGAGAAAGAUUCAGCUGAUAACUUGGUCUCUCCAUCUGAUGAUAGGAAUGAGCUGCAAGUGGAAGAUCUACGUGUGAAGGAAAGAUGCUUUGAGCAGAGAGAAGCUCUUCCUGGGGAGCCUCGCUGUGUUAUAUGUGGUCGAUACGGGGAAUAUAUAUGUGAUCAGACUGAUGAUGAUAUCUGUAGUGUGGAAUGCAAGACUGCUCUUCUUGCUAGAAUUGCUGCUGAAACAAAGAUACCAGUAAAAGCACCAGCACGCGUAAAAGUUCCGUUUGGUGAUGAGAGCUUCUGUGUCCGAGACAAUAAUUUUCCCGAUAUACCGAGUUUGCAUGCCAGCCAGAUCGCUUCACUGAGAAAUAAACUUGACAUUUGUGUCAAGGGUGAGGCAAUUCCUGAUCCAAUCAUGUGUUUCUCUUCCUGUGGUCUUCCUGAGAAGCUUGUGCACAAUCUUGAUGCUGCAGGGUAUACCAUGCCUACUCCGGUGCAGAUGCAAGUCAUCCCUGCAUCAAUAAGUAAUAGAAGCCUACUUGUCUCUGCAGAUACUGGUUCAGGGAAAACAGCUUCUUUUCUAGUUCCUAUAAUUGCACAUUGUUCACGGAGAGAGCUGCAGCAAUCUGAAAGCAAGCGUGGGCCCUUGGCUAUAGUCCUUGCUCCAACUAGGGAGCUAUGCCUACAGGUGGAGGAUCAAGCAAAAGUUCUUGGAAAGGGUUUACCAUUUAAAACUGCUCUAGUUGUUGGUGGAGAUCCCUUGGCUCAGCAAAUAUAUAGAAUUGAAAAUGGUGUCGAGUUAAUUGUGGGCACCCCAGGAAGACUAAUUGAUCUUCUGAUGAAACACAAUGUUGACCUUACAGAUGUGUCUGUGUUUGUUCUGGAUGAAGUGGACUGCCUGCUAGAGAGAGGAUUCAGAGAUCAGGCCAUGCAGAUCUUUCGUGCACUCUCAUGUCCACAGGUUAUGAUGUUUUCAGCAACAAUACAUCCAGAAAUUGAGAAAUUGUCAAACUCACUGUUGAACAACAUGAUACAUAUUUCUUGUGGGAACCCAGGUAAACCAAACAAAUCAGUUAGACAAGUGGUAAUUUGGGUGGAGUCUAAGCAGAAGAAGCAGAAGAUUUUCGAGAUAAUAAAAAGUAAGCAGCACUUUAAACCUCCUGCUGUUGUAUUUGUGAGUUCUAGAGUUGGUGCCGAUCUCUUGUCUGAAGCCAUUACUGCUGCUACUGGGUUGGAGGUUAUUUCUAUUCAUGGCGAGAAAACAAUGAAAGAGAGAAGAGAAAGAUUGAGACGGUUUCUCACAGGUGAAGUAUCUGUUGUUGUUUGUACAGGGGUCUUGGGACGUGGAAUGGAUCUUGUGAAAGUACAUCAAGUGAUUUUGUUUGACAUGCCAAAUUCCAUUGAUGAAUAUAUUCACCAAGUUGGAAGAGCGUCUCGGAUGGGUAAGGAGGGCGUGGCUAUUGUCUUUGUGAAUGAGGAAGAUAGGAAACUUUUUGGAGAGCUUGCUCAGGUUCUGAAGACUGCAGGAGCUCCAAUUCCUCGAGAACUCUCUAAUUCAAAAUUCACCAGCAGUGUUUCUCUUGGCACUGACAGGAAGAGAAAACUGAGUUCUCGGGCACAUUCUUGACCAGUACGCAUAACAGAGAGGUGGUCAAUCUUCUUAAUAUGACAACUACAUGUGCUACCGGUUAUAUUGCUUUGUUGUUUGAUAGCUGAGGUUAAAGUUUUGUAGGAAGACAGUGCUUGUUGUGCAUCCAUCUUCGUGUGGAUAGGCCGGAUAUCGGAAUUUGUAACUCCUGAAAUAUAUGGCAACUUCCUUGACAGCUUUACCAAUGAGUCUAAAUACGAUUCUUCAGGCCAUGUGUCUGGAAUCAAUUUAUGCAGAAAAUGUAAACAAGCUACCUUAUGUGUAGUUUUAUCAAAAUGUUGGUCAAACACACAUGGUGCAGUUGACUUAAAUAAUGGUAUGAUUUGUAUUUUCCUUGAUUCAUUUGUUCAAUG
rnacentral:rRNA from 1 species